rnacentral:rRNA from 1 species
AUUGAACGCUGGCGGCAGGCCUAACACAUGCAAGUCGAACGGUAACAGGAAGAAGCUUGCUUCUUUGCUGACGAGUGGCGGACGGGUGAGUAAUGUCUGGGAAACUGCCUGAUGGAGGGGGAUAACUACUGGAAACGGUAGCUAAUACCGCAUAACGUCGCAAGACCGAAGAGGGGGACCUUCGGGCCUCUUGCCAUCGGAUGUGCCCAGAUGGGAUUAGCUAGUAGGUGGGGUAACGGCUCACCUAGGCGACGAUCCCUAGCUGCUCUGAGAGGAUGACCAGCCACACUGGAACUGAGACACGGUCCAGACUCCUACGGGAGGCAGCAGUGGGGAAUAUUGCACAAUGGGCGCAAGCCUGAUGCAGCCAUGCCGCGUGUAUGAAGAAGGCCUUCGGGUUGUAAAGUACUUUCAGCGGGGAGGAAGGGAGUAAAGUUAAUACCUUUGCUCAUUGACGUUACCCGCAGAAGAAGCACCGGCUAACUCCGUG